rnacentral:misc_RNA from 1 species
GAUCCACGUCUACUCUUCCAUUGUUCUUGUCAAGUUAUAAAAGCUAUGAGAGAGAGCAAGAUCUUCAAAUAUGACUAUAGCUUCUUCUACUUCUUCUUGUUUACUCUUAUGAUCUUGAAGAUAUUGUUCUUCAAGUGUGCUUCAUCUCAAGUAGUUUAUACAGUCGGUGAAGAUGAAGGAUGGAAUUCUGAAGCAAACUUCGAUUCCUGGUCACAGAAAUAUAACUUCAGCGUCGGUGAUGUUCUUGGUAUGCAAUCCUUGAUCUCUUUUAUUCCUUCUUCAAUAACUCUAAUUUCUAUUAUAAGCUGAUCCAUAUAAUUAGUAAAGGGUUGUUAAUUAGAAAAUCUAAAAAAUAAUAAUAACCCUUAUUUUUGUUCUUUCUGGGUAUUGAUUUUUGGUAAAAUUUAAACUGAAAUGAAUAAUAAAUAAUUGUGGGUGUAGUUUUCAAGUAUGUGAAGGGGCAACAUAAUGUGUACGAAGUAACAGAGGACACAUUUCGAUCAUGCGAUGCAAGCAAUGGAGUAAUAGCAAAGUAUGAGAGUGGAAACGAUGAGAUAAAGCUGAACAAAGAAAAGAAGUAUUGGUUCAUAUGCAAUGUGGUUGGGCAUUGCCUUGGAGGAAUGAGGCUUAAUAUUGAUGUGGGGAAAGGAAAACAAGCCAAUUCCUCUUCAAAUGGUGAAACAAUCCCACAAUUGGAGCCAACGCCACCACCCACUUCUUCAUCUUCAUCUUCAUCUUCAAGUUUUUCCGUGGGGAUUUGGAUUUGCUUUCUUGCUCUCAGAAUUUUGUUCAAAUUCUUUCCCUGAAGGAAAAUUUAAUUUUCUUGUAUUGGUUUUUUAGAUUAAAUUUCGUUUUUAAUGUAAUUACUUCAGCCCAAUAAAGAGAAGGGACCAUCAAGAACUUGACUGGAGGUUUUGUCUUUUAUGUUACGAAGCAAAGAGUCACCACCAGACUGUUUAAAUAAUACUUUUGCUUUAUGAAAUGGA